GACGAACGCUGGCGGCGUGCCUAACACAUGCAAGUCGAGCGGAGUCGAUCGACGGAAGCCUUCGGGCGGAAGAUGGUUGACUUAGCGGCGGAUGGGUGAGUAACGCGUGGGCAACCUGCCUCGAAGACCGGGAUAACAGCCCGAAAGGGCUGCUAAUACCGGAUGUGGUCAAAGAUCCGCAUGGAUUUUUGAUUAAAGGGGAAACCCGUUUCGAGAUGGGCCCGCGUCCUAUCAGCUAGUUGGUGAGGUAAAAGCUCACCAAGGCGACGACGGGUAGCCGGCCUGAGAGGGUGACCGGCCACACUGGAACUGAGACACGGUCCAGACUCCUACGGGGGCAGCAGUGGGGAAUCUUCCACAAUGGGCGAAAGCCUGAUGGAGCGACGCCGCGUGAGCGAAGAAGGCCUUCGGUUGUAAAGCUCUGUCUGGAGGGACGAAGGAAGUGACGGUACCUCCGGAGGAAGCCACGGCUAACUACGUGCCAGCAGCCGCGGUAACACGAGAGUA
rnacentral:rRNA from 1 species